rnacentral:rRNA from 1 species
UUAUGUACUAGCACUAACGUAUUGGAUUCCAUCAGAACUCUGAAGUUAGAUGUGUUUGGGCGAGAAUAGUACUAGGAUGAGUAACCUCAUGGGAAGUCCUUGUGUUGCAUCCC